rfam:Schistosoma rodhaini strain Burundi genome assembly, scaffold: SROB_scaffold0011642
AUCCAGCUGACGAGUCCCGAAUAGGACGAAACGUGCAUCCUGGAU